rnacentral:rRNA from 1 species
UGGGGAAUUUUGGACAAUGGGCGCAAGCCUGAUCCAGCCAUGCCGCGUGCGGGAAGAAGGCCUUCGGGUUGUAAACCGCUUUUGUCAGGGAAGAAAUCUUCUGAGUUAAUACCUCGGGAGGAUGACGGUACCUGAAGAAUAAGCACCGGCUAACUACGUGCCAGCAGCCGCGGUAAUACGUAGGGUGCAAGCGUUAAUCGGAAUUACUGGGCGUAAAGCGUGCGCAGGCGGUUUUGUAAGACAGAGGUGAAAUCCCCGGGCUCAACCUGGGAACUGCCUUUGUGACUGCAAGGCUUGAGUGCGGCAGAGGGGGAUGGAAUUCCGCGUGUAGCAGUGAAAUGCGUAGAUAUGCGGAGGAACACCGAUGGCGAAGGCAAUCCCCUGGGCCUGCACUGACGCUCAUGCACGAAAGCGUGGGGAGCAAACAGGAUUAGAUACCCUGGUAGUCCACGCCCUAAACGAUGUCAACUGGUUGUUGGGAAGGUUCCUUCUCAGUAACGUAGCUAACGCGUGAAGUUGACCGCCUGGGGAGUACGGCCGCAAGGUUGGAACUCAAAUGAAUUGAC